rnacentral:rRNA from 1 species
GAUGAACGCUGGCGGCGUGCCUAAUACAUGCAAGUCGAGCGAACAGACGAGGAGCUUGCUCCUCUGACGUUAGCGGCGGACGGGUGAGUAACACGUGGAUAACCUACCUAUAAGACUGGGAUAACUUCGGGACACCGGAGCUAAUACCGGAUAAUAUAUUGAACCGCAUUGUUCAAUAGUGAAAGACGGUUUUGCUGUCACUUAUCGAUGGAUCCGCGCCGCAUUAGCUAGUUGGUAAGGUAACGGCUUACCAAGGCAACGAUGCGUAUCCGACCUGAGAGAGUGAUCGGCCACACUGGAACUGAGACACGGACCAGACUCCUACGGGAGGCAGCAGUAGGGAAUCUUCCGCAAUGGGCGAAAGCAUGACGGAGCAACGCCGCGUGAGUGAUGAAGGUCUUCGGAGCGGAAAACUCUGUUAUUAGGGAAGAACAAAUGUGUAAGUAACUAUGCACGUCUUGACGGUACCUAAUCAGAAAGCCACGGCUAACUACGUG